rnacentral:lncRNA from 1 species
GAUCCUCUCCCAGAGGGUCUGAAGCUUUCACUCAUGCUCCUGAACGGGUAAGCUCCCCCUCUAGUGUUCACUGCUCAUCAGAUUAUUCCUCCAACAAAUAAGACAGAGAACUGCCUGUUUUUUUGGUUCCCUAUCGAAGGACGGAGCUUGGAACAACAUUUAUAACGGUUUAAUGACACAAAGAGUAAAAGGUGCUGCAGCCCAUCCAUCUGCUGAAUGUUGCCAAGUAACAGCCAUCCAUGGAACAUGGAAAAAUGAAUUCACCCGGCCAGGCCCAAAUUGUCGACCCACAGAACAUGAGAUGCAGAAGCUCUAACCAAGGAUUCCUAGAGAGAAAGAGUAGAGCCAUGAGACGAAGGGAGCCUGGGUCCCUAAAUCACCAUGUCGGAGCUCUUCAGCGAAAAGCUGACGCUGAGCUGCUACGUGAGCAAGAGACACCUUGCCCAAUCUGAAACGAAGCCAAGCAAAGCAACAUCACCUUCUGGAAAGUGCAGAAACUGCAAUCAAGAUCAACAAAGAAAAGCACCCUUCCCAUAGAUUCAUCUCUUUGGCGUUUAAGUGUUUGGGCGAGUCUACAAAACUCAGAUUCCUCAUUUAACUAGAUGUUCCAGGUCACAGAGAUAUUCUACUAAGGCAAUUUUCAAAAGACCAUAAAACCACCACAUCAAUUUAUGCUUGCAGGUAGUAUAAUUGCCUUUGUAUCAUAUAUUUUUAGAAAAAGUGGCUUAAAACAAUUUGAAUAGUGCUUUAGAAAUAAGACCCUUAAAUAAUUGACGCUGGUAUUGCCUUUCUUAACUCUGGGAUUUCAAAACAUUUUCCAAACAUUAAUUGCAAUGGGACCCUGGUGAGGCUGAUAUUAUCAUACCUAUUUUCCAAGACGAUAAGCAGGGAGCGCAGGGCCCGUUUCUUGUCUUGCCCCAUGCCCUUCAGAGCUUGUCCAAGCUCAGAGCUCCCUUAAAAACCAUUGGAUCAGCUCCAUGGGAGCACAGAGGAAAAUGAGAAAUGGGCUCUUGGAGAUUUAAGGGAUUCUGUAAGGUUGUGUGUGAGUGAGCUGUAGCUAAAAGUCAAAGCUGGAAAUCUAAGAUUCCUUAUUCAGUGCUUGGAUAUAUUUCCUCAUUAAGAUAAUUCAUGUAGAAUAUCAGGCUUGCAGGAAUAUGCUGGUAAGAAGUGGACUCUGUUGCUGUUUGUUUUUGAGUAACUUAUUUAAUAACAAAAAUGCCUCCCUUUGAUUUGAAUAAAAAUAAAUGGCUGGAUUUUCACAGGCAGCAUGCAUAGAAGACCAGCAAGGGCCAACAGUGAAUUUCGACACUGACUUUUAAAAAUUGUGAAAGAGAUGCUAACAGCCUAAUUUGCAGUGGAGACUAGAUUCUGUGGCUGUAUCAGGUGGUGGUAUAAAGAAGAGCCAUAUACAGAAGGUGAAAUGAGGGGUUAAAAGUCACGCUAAACAUGCUGCAAGGACCUGUGGGCAUCCCAACCUUUUUUUCUUUAAUUGGGAGGAGAAGAGCUUUUUACUAAAGAGUAAGUUCCACAAUGUAGGCCGGUGGCCCAACUGGGAAAUACUCUUGAUUUGAACAGUUUGCAGCAGUUCUUUUCUGAACUCUUUAUAUAGAUCCUCUUUCAAUAUGGGGACACAUAUUUUAAGGUAAAAGGGGUAUUUUACUAAUUUUUUUUAAUGAAGCUUUCACUGCAAGCAAUAUUUGGAGUUAGUAAUCACCGGCUGGUUUCUUUCCCUCCUGCACUGCAGGAAUGAGGCCACUUUCACAGCUGGUUGUCAGCACAUCUCUUAUUACUAACACCAAUUAUUGAUUUUUAAAAGGCCUACGCUAUUAGUACCCUGCUACAUCUCUUCACGUACAAUAUGUGUUUUAAAAAUUCCUUUUGUAAAAAUAUAAAAUCUGAGUCCAACCUUUCUAUCAUCACUGUGCUUGUUCUUUACAUUUUAUCUUAUACCUUCACAGGAAAGCAAACCCGGAAUCUUUUUUUUUUUUUAACUUUUGGGCUAAUUUAGAAGCAGAAAUACUUUGCCCAUAUGAUCUCUCUGGCAGGUAUCACAUUAUAAAAAAGCAAAUGGUGCGUAGUGAGGGAGGAUGAAAGAACAUAAUUAGAGGGUUUAGGAUCUUCUAUCCCCUUUUCUCUGCCUUUAUUUCGUGCCAUCCCAAUCUAUGUUUAAGCCAAUCAUAAAAACCCACCUGGCGUCAUCCCCACUAGGGUGGCUGCUUUUGCAUAGGACUGCACCCCAAAUUGGACUUUUCUCUUCUCUUUGAAAGUUCUCAAUGAAGGUGAAUUUUAGGAUUUCUUUCAAAAGAUACUAUUCACACGUCAGUCAUUCUAGUUGUUGAUAUAUUGUCCAAAUGAUAGGCGGCUCUGAGAAUAUUUAUCUUUAGCAAUAUUUAUGGGUGUAUUAGUUUUGUAGAGCUGGUGUAACAAAGCUCUAUGAAAACGCUACAAAGCUCACCAAAAACUGGAUGGCUUAAACAGCAGAAAUUAACGUUCUCAUAGUUCUAGAGGCUAGACAUGCACCAUCAAAGUGUCAGCAAGGUUGGUUUCUGCUGAGGGAUGUGAGGGAUAAUCUGUUUAUGCCCAUUUCCUAAUUUCUGGUAGUUUUCUGGAAAUUUUGGCAUUUUUUGGAUUAUAGAUGCAUUUUCUGGUAUCUUCCUUCAUGCUCACAUAGGAUUCUCCCUGUGUGUGUGUCUAUGUCUGUGUCUAAAUUUCCCCUUUUUAUAAAGACUCAGUCGUAUUGAUUAGGGACCACCCAAAUGAUUUCAUCUGCUAGGAUACCAUAUCCAAUUAAGGUCACAUUUACUGAGAGAAAGCACUUCAACAACUUUUUGGGCAACAUAAUUUAAACCAUAACAAUGGUUUGUUAAAUGACGUAUAUAUGAUACUAUAUAUAUAUAAAUCAUUAUUAUCAUUGAUUAUGUAUAUAAUCAAAUACUAUUUUAUUAUUUACAAAAUACAUGGUGAUCAUAAGAGAAUAUUUUACAAAUUACAAAUGGGAAAAGUACAUGGCAUUACUAAAACGUCAGUGCCAAUGCCUCAGCAGAGAAAAAUUAGUGCAUUAAUUAGUUACCCUCUGAUGGAUAGUUUUUAGAUAAUAGAGACAGGUAUUGGUAAGCGAAAUGGAAUUUUAAUUUCAUGAGGAUGCUAGAAAAUUGCAAGUUGGAAGAUCAAUUUUAUUUACUCCAUCAUUAACAUGUGCUAAGUGAAUAUCUAAAGCAAGCUUGUCCAACCUGCGGCCUGUGGGCUGCAUGCGGCCCAGCAUGGCUUUGAAUGUGACCCAACACAAAUUUGUAAACUUUCUUAAAAGAUUAUGAGGGUUUAUUUGCGAUUAUUUUUCUUUUUGCUCAUCGGCUGUUGUUAGUGUAUUUUAUGUGUGACCCAAGACAAUUCUUCUUCCAAUGUGACCCAGGGAAGCCAAAAGAUUGGACACCCCUGACCUAAAGUGUAAUCCAUACUCUGAUAGAUGGUUUUCAGUAACACAAAUUCAACAUAAAACUGAACAUACAUUUUCAUGAGCAACUACUAGGUUCCAGGUACAUGACUGCUAUAGAGCAUUAGAGUUCUAAUACUAAGUAAAGCAGAGUGAUUUUUAAAAUCUAAAUACAGUUUAGCCAGGAAGAGUGAAGUAUAAACCAAUCAUUGAAAUUUAGAGGGCACUGUAAAGAAAACCCAUAUACAUGGAAGAAAGAAAAGGCAGGGUCAACUUCUUAGUUGUGAGGAAGGAUCUUGAAGAAAAGAUUACUCUGUUUUUGCAUUGCCAUAAAGAAAUACUUGAGGCUGGGCAAUUUAUAAGAAAAAAGGGUUAAUUGGCUCACAGUUCUUCAGGCUGUACAGGAAGCAUAGUGGCAUCUGCUUCUGGGGAGACCACAGGAAGCUUCUAGUCAUGGCAGAAGGCAAAGGGGGAACAGGCACAUGCUGAAAGCAGGAGCAAGCGAGAGCCAGCAGCGAAGUGCUGCACACUUUUACACAACCAGAUCUCCCGUAACUCACUCACUAUCAUGAGAACAGCAGCAAGGGGAUGGUGCUAAACCAUUCAUGAGACUCCAACCCAUGACCCAGUCACCUCUCACCAGGCCCAACCUCCAACAUUGAGGAUUACAGUUAGACAAUUCAAUAUGAGAUUGGGGCAGGGACACACAUCCAAACUAUAUCAGAUAAUGAUAAUAUGACUUAAAAAAAAAAGAUCUGUAUAGUCUCACCUAACAGUAGCCUGCCUGGGGCAGGAAGACAAAUGGAGUUCAUGUCUCUAAAUAUUUACAAUUAUAAAUUAAGGUAACAAAAUUGCUACCCAGAACAUAUUCAAAUGUCCUACCCUGUCAACUAUAGCUUUUGAGCAACAAAAUAUGAAAAUAAGUCAUGAAUCAAUGUUUAUAUGACUGGAGAAAGAAAAAUAUUAAACAUGAUGGAAUUUGAUUAUUUCCCAUAUUUAGAUCUUCUGUUUAUGAGUAAGGACAUUUAAACUAGUAAUAAAGGAAACAUACAUAGUUUAUAAAUAUAUGUAAACAUUUUAUAAAAUUUAUUUUUCCUACCUUCAUUUCAAU